AAGGGACUACUGGAAAAGCUUCCCCCAGCGCCUUGAAGAUAGGUUCCUAAGCCCGGAGGACACAAGCCAGAUGGGAAGGUGGUGCUACGGGCCUGGCCUCGCUCCUUCAGGACACAGAGGCUGCGACCCAGGAGCCCCUGGCAGAGUUGAGAAAACCAGCAUUGGGGCAGGGGCCUUGAAGAUCAUCUGGUUCCCGUCUCCAAGCCUAUAGGUGGGGAAGCUGAGGUCUGGAGAGGAGCAGGGACUUGCCCAAAGCACACAGAGGGCCACUCCUGGAAGCUCUUCUGGGCUUGGAUGCUGCCUGAGACGCACACUGGUGACAGCUUGGGAGAAGGAGGGCCACGGCCUACUUGAGGAGCGCGCGUCUGAGAGAGUGUGCUGUGGCAUCCACAGCAGCAGCACUGUUCCUGAGGAGAAACUAAGAGCAACACAAACAUCCAGUAAGAGGAGAAUUGAGAAAUCAACCACAGCUCCCACAGCAGCAGGGAGCUGAGUGUGUGGGUGCGCCUGCCUCUCUGCCCCAGAAGAGCGUGGCCUCAGCCCCAGGUCGCCCAGGGCCUCUACGCCCCACCACGUGGUGUCUGUGUGCACGAGGGCCCAUCUGCCCAUCUGUUUCCCUUCCCUCUGCUGUGGGCUCUGCUUCCCCGUGGUCCAAACAACAAGAUCCAGCCCAGAAACAGCAUAUGUUUCCAGCCUCUGCUAGUCCAAGUCAUAAAUCGCCUGGUGUGAUGUGCUCCUUGUGUCAGCUUGUUUCAAAACUCAGGGUGGAGGUGGCUGAAUGAGUGUGAGGAGAAUGCAGGGCCUCCUCCAGGCUGAGAAGCUGAGAGCUGGGAGCCGGGGUGAGUCCAGGACUGAGGCUCAGGAAGGGAGACAGGGACUAGGCCUGGAGCUGGCUUGGGGGCUCAGCCUGGGGCGGGAACCAGCAGGUAGUGGCCUGGAUUCAAGCUGGGCCUAAGGGCUGAGACUUAAAUGGGAGCUGAGGUCAGAGAUCAAAGGGUUGGGCUUCUUGUCCAAUGGUCAGAGGUCCAGACUUGACUUGGAGUCAGGGGUCAGAGGGCAGGGGCUAUUGCUCAGAACUUGAUGGGGAUGGAGAGCUAAGCUCAGUUUGGGGUGAAGGUCAGGCCUCAGGCUGAGGUAGGGUUAGAGGUUAGAGGUCAGAAUCAGUCCAGUGCUGAAGGCCAUAGCUAACUGAGAAGGAGGUCCCCAAAGACUCAGAAGUCUGCCUGCUCUAUCCUGGAAGUGACGUGUGCCAGGACCGGUGACAGAGGGAUGCCUGUGAUAAAUAAGACGGGGCUUCCAGGGAUUGACCAUGAGUUUGAAAAGGACUGGGCACAGAUCUUACGUCCAAAGCCACUAGAGCAAGGCUGGGGGCCUGGCCUCCAGUCCCAGCUCCCUGUCCUCAGGAUGGGAGCCUUGGUUGCUUAUCUCUGAAGCGUGGAUGGCCACAGCGCCUGCCUCCAUGUUGAUCACGCUCCAUCCAUGUUGCUGAUUUCUACCCUCAAGACUGUGUGCCCUGGAGUGGGGGUAGAUGAGUGAACACAGUGAGGGUGAGUGGUCGAGGCAGGUAUGUGAGAUGCUUCUGUGGCAUGGGGGGCGGGGGGUCUCAGGAGAGGAACUGUGCCAAGGCCUUAGGUCCCCAGUCACCACCCAGGGCUCUGUCACUCCCAGGCUGCCCCAGAGAGGUGACCCUGCAGCCAGUUCAGGCCUCAGCUGCCCCCCCGAGCCGUGUGUGAGCAGCACCGUCCCGGGCGUUUUUUCCAGGCCUCCGUUCUGCCAGCUAGGUUUUCCCACCUCUUCUCCGUUCUGGGCCCAGCAUGGCCAGAGAUCUGGGGACAAGCCCACACAGCCGCCAGUUGGGGAGCUAGGAUGGAGGAGGCAAAAGCAGGAGUGAGAGGCCAGCAGGCAGAGAAGGGUGCCAAGGAGGAAGCCUUAUCACAGGCCUCUCUGUUCUCAUCUCCCGCAAGGCCUGGUCACGAACCAGCCUCAGCUGUUGACCCGCCGCUGGGGUCCUGACCCCAGAGGUCUCCCCCUCCCCACAGGGGAGCACAGGGAGAUUCAACAAGGGGGGAACCAGGCAUGUGUGAGGGUGUGGGGGCUGGAGGGAGGUGAGAGAACCCCUGGGGGACAGGAAUGGUGGAGAGCCAGCAGAGGACAUGUGGACAACAAGAGGGCUGCCCUGCCUGCCCAGGAUGCAAGGCCUCCAGGGUUUGGCUAUGAAAGUCCCAGUCACCUCCUCCAGCUGAGCUAUUAAUACCCAGCUAAGACCCACGCACCCUUGCUGGGAGGACGCCGAGUUCCUUGGGGGCUAAAAACGGUCUGCGGUGGGGGUGGGCCCGGUGUCCUCCCUCUCUGCUUGUCAGAGGAGCUGGGGCCAAAGUCCAUGCUGGCCUGGAAGGGGGCCAGAGCCAGGGUCGGGGUACAGAGGGUGACUGAACCCUGGGGUGGCCUGAGGAUUCCAGGCAGAAGCAGGAAGGCACUCAGCCAGUCCAGUCCCCGUUGCUCAGAGACCUGAGGGUGGCCCGGGGGCCUGCCAGUGGUCCCACCCAGGAGACCCGCCUGGCUUUCUGGCUCCUUGCCCCACCUAGGCCUUCGCCUUCCCCCCAGGCCUCAGCUUGGUCUGCCCCAGGCUGCAGUGGGGCUAGCUGCUGAGGGCUGCCUGCCUGUCUUCUGCCCAGAGGGGCCUAGAAGGGAAAGGGAGCUCCAGGGAGGGGACAGGUUUGGAGCCUCUAGUGGAAUCCGGGCCACCUAAAGCAGAGCCAUUCACGUUCAUUCACUGAGCUUCAUGUGUGAAAUUUCGAUUAUUCAUAGCAUUCUCUCAGGAGGGAGUUACUGGCAGCACCAUUUUAUAGGUGAAGAAACUGAGGCUCGGUCAUCUCCUCAGAGCCUGAGCUGGCUAGACCUGGUUUGUCAGACUCCAGACCCUACCUUGUGUUGCCUCCCGUUAUGUCAUUGCAAAAGGAGAUUUCUUGGUUUGUCCUGGGGAUCCAUGAAACAGGUGUUUCCAUCAAAAGGCCCUGAUCACUGUAGUGUCCCAGGCCCACCAGAGUGGCCACACCAAGAAUGAGAGGCCUGCAUGGGCACCUUUCUCCUGCAUUGGUGAACCCCCCUCACGGGGAUCGUCAGCCACUUCUUCCCUCAUUCCUGGGGCUCAAGGACACAUCCUGGGAGCCUGUGCUAGUCUUCUGGGCUCGAGGUCACCCAAGGCCACCUGCUCCAUGCUGUGUCCCCUCCCUUCCCAUGAUAGAUGCUCCAGGAUCCAGACACCGACCCCAGAAGAGCACAGACUUGGCCAGGAGAGUCCAGACGAGAAAGUGGUUGAGAGGUGUCAGCCCCGGAGGCCCCCUGAGCCGGAAAUCCCGACAGCUGCCUGGCUUAUGGGUCCUGGGCACUGGGCCCUGACCCAGGGCAGGCAGCAGCCGUGUCAGGUGUCCAAAGGAGUUGGGGGAGGUUAUGGCUGGAGCCAAGCCUGUCUGCCUGUGGUUAGUGAGGCUGUUGACACCUCCUGGGCUGCCAAGGCAGAGCGGCACCAAGGGGCUGGGGGAGGGGUCCUCGCUUAGCCUGGAGGGUCUGAGGGGAGAGACAGGCCCUGACUUGAGGGUCUGGGGAAGGAAGCACAGUCCUGUCCUAAGCUGAGAGAGACCUGGCCCUGCCUGAGAAAUCUGAGGAGGGGGACAGACCCCUAGCUUUGGGGGCUGGUAGAGGGGGUAUAUUUCCAAAUGGCCAGUGGGGAGUAAGGUGUGGGGGGUUGUCCCAGCCUGACACCAGGACAGCAGGGAAGGCUGCCCGUAUCCUGGGUUCAGGAGGAAGCUCUGAAUCUGCCGGCCUCCAUUCCUGGCUGGGAGGCACGUGCCUCUGCAGGACAAGCAGGAGGCCUCUGGCCUCAGGCUGACCAUACAAACAGCCCCAGGGUUUCACUUCCCCGGGAGAAAAGGAGAGGCCUAACCUUGCCUGGAUUUUCCUUAACCCCCCGGAGAGGGUCUUUGCCUCUGCGCUGGUGGUGAUGGGGGACAGACUAGCGUCAGAGAGCCCGUUCCAGGGGAGCCCUGCCAGGAUGGGCCCCCCUGCUCAUUUGAUCCAUGCACCUCAGCUCUCCUGAUGCCCAUGUGCCCCCCCGCCGGAGCCACCUCCCCAAGAAGUCUUCCUGGAUUGAUAGAGGUGAGGAGGCACUAUACUUCCAACUCCCACGCCAGGCUGGAGUGUCAAUGGCUACCCCAUCUUCUUGGGGCCCCUGCCAGCCAAGCCUGACCUCAUGAGGCUUUCCUUUUCUUUCACUUUCCUUUCAACACACCCUCCCUCCUGGCUCCCUCCUAGACCUCCAGGCCUCUGGUUCUCUGGCUGAACCAGCCCCUUGGCCACACCAGGUCUGGGGUCCUCUCCCAUCUCAGCUGUCCCUGCUGCUCAGUCUGGGGCUCAGUCCCCUGCCCUGUGUCUGUCUCUUCUCUCUGGGUUUAUCUUUGUUCUCUGGGCUCUGACUCAGACCUGACUCUGUCUCUCUGUUUUAGUCUCCAUCUCUGCCUCUCUCUUUAUAUCUGUCUGGCUCCCUGACCCAGUCUCAAAUGCCUCAGUCUUUCUGUCACUGUUGCUCUAGGACCCGGUCCUGGCAGUGUCUCCUCUCCCCACCUGGCCGGGGCAUCUGCUCAGACAUCUGCUCUGCUGUCUGCUCGCUGGGCCCCACGAAGAGCUCAGACAACACUUGUGGUCUCAACUCUGGCCCAGUUCCAGGGGAACUGCUGUGAUUCCCAGAAGGUGGGUGAGGGAGAGACAGGCCAGAGGGCCAUGUGCUUGCCUGUCUCUUGAGGGGCUAAUGGCCCUGGGCUUUCCUCUGCUCAGGCCACGGCUACCAGUGCCACAGGCUUCACAUUUUACCCCACCACUGACGGCUGUGGGACUCCGGGCAGGUUCUGAGCUCGUGUCCCCUUCUCCAUAGUGGGGCCAAUAGGGCCGACUUCAGCAGGUGUCAGAGGAUGGAAUGUCAGCGCACUUGGCGGGCACUUGGCACUGGGCCCAGCAUGUAGUAGUGCUCCAUAGAGUCCCCAUGACUGUUACUGUGACUGUAAUUCCCCAAGGUCCCCGGAGUCAUGAUAGGCAGAGUGGGGGAUGGGCUGAGCUUCUGCUGUUUGAGGUGUCCCAUGUCCACCUGCGUCCCAUACCCGUCUCUUCCUCUGUUGGACAAAAGACCUCUCGCUAUACCUGGGACCUUCCUGUCCUCAGAUUCUGUCUGAAUUGCACACUGGUGCUCACCAAAUUAAUUACUGCUGGCUUGGGGAUAUAUUUUUUUAAGAAGACAUUUUUCCAGGGGGAAAAACACGCAGGAGCUAUAAUUAGUUGGGAAGAGGAAAGAGGUGCGGAGCGUGUGAAUCAUCAGCCCCAGUGAUAGACGGUUAGAGGCUGAGCAGAAGUUUCGGGAGAAGCUGCUGGAGUGUGGGUGAGUUGGGGAUGGGGUGCUGCCCCCAGGCAGGCCGGGGUUGUCAAACACCAGGCAUGUUCAGGGAUGGGGACUUUAUCUGUCACCCUGAAGUCUAUGCCCUCCCCCACAAGGCUCUGUCACCCAUCACCCUCUUAAGGUCCCAGCUUCUCAGCUCCCCUGCACGUCCUGCCUGCCCUGACUGUCCCUAGGGCUUUUGUCCACCUUAUCCCAAGGCUAGUGCCAGUCCCUGCUGGCAUGUACCUGGGCAGAGAGCCUUGCAGCUUGAAUGAGGAGAGAAACUGUGGAGGGUUUGAGAUGCAGGGAUUGUAGACCAUCUAGACCAGCUUCUCAUUCAUUCACUCACGUGUUCAUCGAAUACUGAAAUGCUGCUGUGUGCCUGGUCCACAGACAGGCAAGCCGAGGACCAGAGAAGUGCCACUCCAAGGCCACACAGCUGUGAGUGGAGCAGCCUCUCUGCCUGUCCUGUCAUACCAACUCUGCUGAGCCAGACCCUGGGCAGGGCUCUGGGCCACCAAGGGGACAACGACCAGGCCCCACCCUAACUGAGGCCAUAUUCUGAUGGGGGAGGCAAUCAGGCACCUAUAGGGCAGAACGCCCAGUGCUGUGAAGUGGGAAGCACAGCGCUGUGGGAGCUCGGAAGUGGAUCUUGAUCCAGCCUGGUGGUCAGACAGGGCCUCACAGGGGAUGAGGUGAACAGUGUUCUGAGGCUGGAAACAGCAUGAUGACCCAUCAUGCUGGAGGGAUGUUAAGUGAUUCUGUGGCAGGGCUCAGGCAGCAGCAGGAGUGGGGGAUUGCUGGGGACUGUGGCUUCUGGGCCAAGUGAUCACAGUGUCCAUUUCCCCAGUGUUUCUUCUGAGCAGCUGUCUGGGGCGCUCUGAGGCCCUCAUCCUUGGGGACUCUCCGUUGGUUCUUUUUGACGUCUGGGGCCCACUGACCCAAGGUAACCCCUGUCUGGGCAGUCAGUGGCUAAGGGGACUGGACCCCAGGUUUCUCCCUCUCUCCCUCUCCUCUGGCUGAGGGCUGGCUACCCAAUGGUCUAGGGGUCUCUGCCCAGGCCUCAGGGGCUAUGCGGGAGCAGCGUGGCCUGUGCCUGAGAGCUGAGGAGAGGACACUUCCUCCCCUGGGAGAGCAUGGCAUCAUUCAGCACACAGAGUGCUCCCUUCUAACCCCAGACCAAAUUAGCCUUCCAAAUUACAGGCUGCAUGUCCUCCAAAUUGGGGAUUGGGUGGGAGAACAGAGGCCCAGCUCUCCUUCCUGCUUCCUGCUCACAGAGGGCUCUCGGCCCAUCCCUAAAUAACAGGACCAUGUUAGGAAGGAAUUCUGGGCACACACCCCCUCCCGCCCCAGGGUGCAGGGAUCCCCAGGUCCCAGACCUGCAUUCAGGCUCAGGGCAAGGCUUUGCCCUCCUGGGGUUUGACAGUGAGCUUGGAACCGGAACAUUCAGUCAAGGCCAGCUUAGGGUUCUGAGGGCAUUUUGAGGAUCAUUCAUUUAUUCAUCAAACACCUACUGGGCACAUUCUCUGUGCCAGGCAUUGUGCUGGGCCUUGAGACACUGAGUGGCAAUGGAGGUGACAGACAUGUGACCAGGAAGGUACAUGUCAGAAUGAGCAGGCCUGUGGCAGGGGGUGUACAAGUGGGGUGUACAAGUGGCCCUGGGAACCCUUGAUGAGGUCAGGGAGACCUUCCUGGAGGAAGGGGUAUAUAAGAUGAGUCCCAAAGGAUGCAUGUGUCCUUAACCAGGAGAAGAGAGUUCAUGGAGGAAAGAAUAUCCAGUGCAAAGGCCAGGAGCAGAGAGUGAGGGAGGGGUAUUAAGAAGUGGGUGGAGGCACUGGUUGGUUCAGAUCCAGGGGCCUUGUCAGCUAUGCUGGGGGAUUGGAUUUCAUCAGAAGUACAAGGGAAGAGGAGGCCUGUGAUUCCAGGAGUGGAGGAGGAUGGGUGUGUGUGUGUGUGUGUGCAGAAGCACAGUUGGACCAUGGCCCCACCCCGAGGGCUCCUGGUAGGUAUGAAGGGAUGUGGGGGCAGAGGAGGGGGUCCUGGACCUCCCACAUUGGCCUCCCUCCCACCCCCACCCCUUCCAGACAGCUUCGGGCCUUUGAAGAAACAAUCCAGUUUACCACAAGGAAAACACGAGAGCCUGAUGGUAUUUCUUUGUGUCCUGAAAUUAAGGUGCCUUCCUGUGUUUUCGCUAAUUGGUUUGGAACUCUUCAUGUUUUUGUUUUAGAAGAAAAUUAUUAUGGAUGUUGAGAAUAAA